rnacentral:rRNA from 1 species
GCCCAGACUCCUACGGGAGGCAGCAGUGAGGAAUAUUGGUCAAUGGGCUUACGCCUGAACCAGCCAAGUCGCGUGAGGGAAGACUGCCCUAUGGGUUGUAAACCUCUUUUGUCAGGGAGCAAUUGGCGCUACGUGUAGCGUUAUCGAGAGUACCUGAAGAAAAAGCAUCGGCUAACUCCGUGCCAGCAGCCGCGGUAAUACGGAGGAUGCGAGCGUUAUCCGGAUUUAUUGGGUUUAAAGGGUGCGUAGGCGGAAUGCCAAGUCAGCGGUAAAAUCGCGGGGCUCAACCUCGCUCCGCCGUUGAAACUGGCAGACUUGAGUUGGCGAGAAGUACGCGGAAUGCGCGGUGUAGCGGUGAAAUGCAUAGAUAUCGCGCAGAACUCCGAUUGCGAAGGCAGCGUACCGGCGCCAGACUGACGCUGAGGCACGAAAGCGUGGGGAUCGAACAGGAUUAGAUACCCUGGUA